UACGUAGGGUGCGAGCGUUAAUCGGAAUUACUGGGCGUAAAGCGUGCGUAGGCGGUUCGUUAAGUUCGUUGUGAAAGCCCCGGGCUCAACCUGGGAAUGGCAAUGGAAACUGGCGGGCUGGAGUAUGGCAGAGGGGGGUGGAAUUCCGCGUGUAGCAGUGAAAUGCGUAGAGAUGCGGAGGAACACCGAUGGCGAAGGCAGCCCCCUGGGCCAAUACUGACGCUCAGGCACGAAAGCGUGGGGGGCAAACAGG
rnacentral:rRNA from 1 species